CAGGAGUAACAGUGGCUGCUCCCAUUCCUUUCCUCCCUGCCCCUCAGCUGCAAGCCAAGUUCAUGGAGCUUUUCAGAAAACUCAUCCCGUUUCUUUUUAGCCAUGCCUGCGAAUUUAUAUGUUAUGUCCUGACUUAUUGUAAGAGGCCGUCUGAAGACCCUCACUCAUUUGCCUGCCGAUUGCCACGAGAAGGAACUCCCUUCCCCCACUGCAGAUCCGGCUUGGAGAAGGCAACAGUGCAGGUGCAGCCGCUGUACCGUUCCGUUCUGUUCCGAACGAAGCCCGGCAAGAACUUGGCAAGAAGUUGGCAAGGACUUGGCGAAGACCCAGCGUGGACCCAGCACAGAGCGGCCUGCUGCAAUUCCUGCUUCACUCUCCACCUUUAAGCCCAAUGAACUGUUGGGGUGACCCUGGUGGUCUCUCACUGCAGACCCCUCAUCUGCCUCGUUACCACCGUGACAGACGGAGAUCAAGAACCCUCUCCCCAAGGACUGAGACUGAGAGUGGUGGGGGGGGAAUGACAUGACCUGUUCUUCUCCAGUAACUUCAAUGGACUUAUUCGUCAUUGUGUUUGUUCUGCCUGGAUGAGCAAUUUCAAUAGGCAUGUUCCCCCCUUUUUCCCUCUGUGGACUAUAACUGGACCCCUGGGUUGGGCAGGACUUUGGAGACUCUCCCCAACACAACAAGACGGAUCCCCAUCAUCCGGACCACUGAGGACCUCGCCUGUGUUGGUGAAAGAUCUGCCAUGUCUUGCAUUGAACCACAGGCGAGCUCUAAUUCAUCUGGUGAAACCUGCUCUCAGAUACACAAGUACUGAGAAACUCAUGAGAUCAUAUUCAGAUACAAAAAGGAUCCCAGAACAUUUUCCCACAGCUCUUGGAAGCUUCUGUUCAUUUCAAGCCAGUGGCACUUUAAAUGGCCUACCCCUUCUAGGAAAAAAGAGAAGAUUUAAAUCAGAACAGGACCUGUUAUGCAAUACAACAUUGCAUUAACACAAACACAACUACUUAAGGUUUGGCAGCUUGUGAUUAAUACCAAGCCUAGUCCACCUCCCAGGAAAGAUAAUUUCCAAUUGAUUUCUAUGGGUUUUGGCUCAGGCCCACACUGCACAUGCUGUGGAUUGUUCUUCUCAUCCUAGGCUCUCAGAAGUAGUAAACAAAUAGGAAUGAACUCAGAAGGGGAAGAAGUGUCCCAGUUUCUCCCUAUUUUUGCAUGGGCCAAUUCUAUGGGACUAGGUAACUUCCUGGUAUCCUUUAAUUUGAGGUCUUUUUUACAGUUUUGAGAGUAGCACUGUGACACAUUUGAAACAUCUAUUCUCUCAUGGCCAGCUGGCUUAGUAACCAUAAUAACCUUGUUCCACUGAAGUGCAGUAAAAAUAUAUAAAAGCCGCAAUUUCUCUGAUUCCAGGCUCCUACUGUGAAAAUAGCAAAAAGACCAAAGUCUUUUCUAGGGGAAAAAAAAAAAAAAAAGUAGAUAAAUUUUAAAUUUUCUGUGUUGCUGCUGCUCACUGAAAUUUCCUUCUGACAGCAGUUCAAUGGUAACAGAAUUGAGCAAUAUGCUCCACAGGAAAAGAUAACAAAGAAUCGAUGUCUAAACAAUUUCAGGAUCAUCUCUAAAUUUGAUGUCCAGCAGAUUAGUUUAUAUCAUAAUGGUUCCUUGGUCCUAUUUUAAGCAUCUUAGAGAAGGACACUUUGUAACCCAGUCAAAAUGCUUCCUUAUCAACAGAAAUCAAUAUCCAACAAGACAGCAAUGGCCUCUCCCAAAUUUUGUUAAUGCUCACUACAGGAGCACUUAAAAUAUUAAUCCCAGGGAACCCACUGCAAAAUUGAGCAAGUUUUAAAUAAUCCAGCAUGGUAAAAGGAGCUUCUAACAAUUCAUUAGGAAAAAAUAAGAUUACCUUUUCCUGGGAAGAGCCUGGAAAAAGGAGAUUGCUGGUUCUUCCUUCAUUCACACAGACCAACUAGUUCUGGGUGGCUGUGCCUGUUUGACUUGGUCUUGAGACAAGGCAACUCUCAACACCUCUUGGAAAUAUAAGAGAAUAGAUCAUAUAUAUCUCAUAUAUAUAUGCACACAUACACACACACUUUUAUAUAUAUAUAUAUGUUUGUGUGUGUGUGUCUGUUCUUCACAGACAUAUAUAUAUUCCUGUGUGCAUCGGGUAUCCUCACCUGUGUUUUUGGAGUAGGGCUCCUAGGACAAUGAUGUGCUUGAUUCCAUGCAUGGCACAUAAAUCUUCAUUGUAGUGGCUGGACAUAUUAACAUAUUAACAGCACAGCUACAGACACCUUAAAUGAUGGCCAAUACUGAGAAGUAGAUACUGACAAGCUGAGUAUUGCACACUGCUCUCUUCGAUUGAAUCAUCAUUGACUUGAUUUCAUCCUUCAUUAUACUCAUUCUUCUUAACAUUUUGCUGAAGUCCACUUUGCUUCUACUUACAACUUUCUGAUCCUUACAUUAGUGACCCUCAUCAGCUGGUGGAUUUUUUGAUUCAGAGCACCUCCAGCUACCUCUGUUACACUCUGCAAAUCUGCAUUCUAACUUACCUCUAUUCUCAUUUCCCUGAGGUUCAUUCCAUGCACCCCUCUUGCCCAGCUAUCCAUAACAGUAGCUGGACCUACAACACCCUAGUGCAGUUGUGUUCCUACUUUCCAGGACCUUGUAUCCAAUAGAGCAAAACACCAUGUCUUUAAAAUCCUCCCUCUCUUUUUCUAAAGCACCUGAGUGUGGCACCAGCUGACUGUCAGACAGUUUCCCAGUCUCAACAAAAGCCAAUACAGGAAAGAAAAAUGAAGCGAACUGGAAGAGAGGGAUCUGUCUGAGCCAAGCGUAAAGAAGCUCACAGCAGCUUGAAGAAGAAUGGAAGAAAUUAUCUGCUUUGUUGAUGUAUCAGACCAAAAACUAUUCAUCUUGCACGGCCUUUGCACAGAAAAGUGUUCACAAGGGGAAUGCUUCUCAUUCCUCUCCCUCUCUAAACCAGAAUGGAUGGGGCAUUCUUCUGCAAAUAUUGCAGGAAUAAAAAUGGAAUUCUCCUGUCCUGAUCAGCCAAGUACAUUUUUAUCUGUGGUGGCAGAAAAAAUUUAAUGCUGGAAAAAGUAUUGCACAAACUGCAGCUUAGUGGGAUUCAUAAUCACUCUUGUUUAUUGCCGAUUGUUUUAAAGGAUCUGGUGGAUCACUGGAAUUACUGAUGGGAUGGAGAAUAAAAGGGAUGAUUGUGUCAUAUGCUUGAGACAUAAAAGGUACAUAGAUUUACCUACCUGAUGUUCCAGGAUAGGCACUGAGUAAUUUUGUGCUGCCUAAUUUAGAAACAGACUCUGGUCUCUUUUCUCAAUUGCAAGGGUGAUUAAAUUCUGAGCUAAUUAAACUGCAUAGUAAUUACUUUGCUUGUUUUAAUGUGUCCUCUAAAAAUGGUACCAUUGUAUUUGUCAUACUGGUGAGUGCUUAUAAAAUGCUUCUCUUUUUUGCUGCUGCUGUUCAGAGGGAACUCCUGGGGGCUCCAAAACUUGCAUCCGUUGUUGCUUAGACACAUUUCUGCUGGGAGCCAGAUGACCCUGGGCAGCAAAGAAGCUGCAAGCACCAAUCAGGAAUGGAGAAGCUCCCAAAAAACUUGAAGAAAGGAACUCAGUGACCAAAUAAAAUUCUCCUGCUCAGCUGGUGAAUCUGGAAACAGCAAGAGAAGAAUAUUGUCUCCAUGAGGAGGGAACUGUGCGUGUCCUGGUGGAAGGUCAGCUUG
rnacentral:lncRNA from 1 species